rnacentral:rRNA from 1 species
GACGAACGCUGGCGGCGUGCUUAACACAUGCAAGUCGAACGGAAAGGCCCUGCUUUCGUGGGGUGCCCGAGUGGCGAACGGGUGAGUAACCCGUGAGUCACCUGCCCUUGACUUUGGGACAACUUCAGGCAACUGGGGAUAAUACCGGAUAGGAGCUCCUGCUGCAUGGUGGGGGUUGGAAAGUAUCGGCGGAUGGGGAUGGACUCGCGGGUUAUCAGCUUGUUGGUGGGGUAGUGGCUUACCAAGGCUUUGGCGGGUAGUCGGCCUGGGAGGGGGGCCGGCCACAAGAGGACUGAGAGACGGCGCAGACUCGUACGGUGGGCAGUGGUGGGGAAUAUGACACAAUGGGCGGGAGCGUGAUGCAGCGGCGCCGCGUGUGGGAUGACGGCCAUCGUGGGGGAAAGCGCAGUCACCUGAGACGAAGCGGUAGUGACGGUAAUGGGAGAAGAAGCACCGGCUAACUACGUG